rnacentral:rRNA from 1 species
GUAACACCGGCGGCCCGAGUGGUAGCCGUUUUUAUUGGGUCUAAAGGGUCCGUAGCCGGCCUGAUAAGUCCUUUGGGAAAUCUGGCAGCUUAACUGUCAGGCUUCUAAGGGAUACUGUCAGGCUUGGGACCGGAAGAGGUAAGGGGUACUCCAGGGGUAGGAGUGAAAUCUUGUAAUACCCUGGGGGACCAUCUGUGGCGAAGGCGCCUUACCAGAACGGGUCCGACGGUGAGGGACGAAAGCUAGGGGAGCAAACCGGAUUAGAUACCCGGGUAGUCCUAGCUGUAAACGAUGCUCGCUAGGUGUCAGACACGGUGCGACCGUGUUUGGUGCCGCAGGAAGCCGUUAAGCGAGCCACCUGGAAGUACGUCGCAAGGC